UCAGAGUCAUAAGCGCACCGUUUUGCCUUACCAGUCAGUUCCCGCGGAGGAGCAAAACCCUAAAACCCCAAAUUGAACUAAAUACCCAACUCUGAAGCAGAGGCAAUUGGUAUUUGGUGAAGCUGAGCCAGAGAGACACUUGUAUUUGGUGAGUAGUCCCUUCCUCGUUUGCUCCGAUUAUGUUUGGUGUUUACUGUAAAAGAUUGCAAUUACUAGUUCCAACUUCAGUUACCCAUUUUCAUUGCUUUCAAAAGCUCCUUCCUUUUAGCAGAUCAUAUUCAUCUUUAUUAGGAUCUGAUAUAGAUGAUGAUGAUGAUGAUGAUAAACCCCAAGGUCACUCUUUUACAGUUUCAUACCUCAUAAACUCAUUUGGGUUUUCCCCAAAACUGGCUCUCUCUUUGUCCAAGAAGCAUAGGGUACGGUUUGAUUCCCCAGAAAAACCAGACUCAGUUGUUAAGCUUCUCAAACACCAUGGAUUCAAUGGUACCCAGAUAUCCGAAAUUGUUAAGAAACUACCAACCUUGCUUUUGUGCAAUGCUGAGAAGACCCUUGAGCCCAAGCUCCAGUUUUUCGAUUCUGUUGGCCUUUCAGCCACCACCCUUGCUUGGGUCGUCAGUUACAACCAACGCAUUUUGGGUCAAAGCUUAGAGAGAAGUCUCCGACCGUGCUAUGAUAUCAUCAAAAGUCUACCUAUCCCCCACAACAUGGUGGCUGUUUUCUUGAAGAACUCGAACCGGGCAUUUGGGGUCAAAAUGCUUAGCAAUCUUGUGCCCAAUGUUUCAGUUCUUAGGGCAAUUCAAGUGCCGGAAUCCUGCAUCUCCUUUUACGUUACCUAUCAUCCUCUUGUGCUGUCCCCUGAAACUGGCAAGUUUAAGGAAAGUGUAAACAAGAUCAUUAAUCUCGGAAUUCUGCCUCCGAGUUUUACUUUCAUGAAGGCACUACAAGUCAUCUCUCAGAUGGAUGCAUCAAAGUGGAGACGAAAGACAGAGUUCUAUAGGAAGUGUGGUUGGACUGAGGAUGACUUUCUGUUGGCAUUUAGAAAGAAUCCCAUGUUUAUGAGCUUGUCAGAGGAGAAGUGUUCAAGUAAAAUUGAGUUUCUUGUGAACAAAAUGGGUUGGCAGCCUGCAGAAGUGGCUGACAGGCCGGAUAUUCUAACUCAUAGUUUGGAGAAGUCUAUCAUACCUAGGUGUUCAGUUAUUAGAGUUCUCCAAUAUAAGGGUUUGAUGAAAAAGGGAGAACUUUCUCAAGCUACCAUGCUGAUAAACAGUAGGAAGCGCUUCUUGGAUAGGUUUGUGACCAAAUAUAAGGAUCAAGCACCUGAACUGUUGAGUAUCUUUCAAGGGCAAAUGUCUCUAGCAGAAUUGGGUGUAGGAUUUGAGGAAAGAGAUGGAGUGAAACAAUUGUAGGAUGAACCUUGUGAAUCUUUUUCUUACUUUAAUUAUCAAGAGCAUCAGAACGGCUACUUAUUCACUGUGCUGGGGAGUUUUGAAAGUAAAAUAAAACUCCAAACCCUGAAUUAUGCUUUCAAUGACAUUUUCCAUGCCCCCUUUCUUAGCUAUAAGAAAAAACUAAAACAUUUUGAUGCCUUGUAACAUUCACAAACUAAAAUUUGAAGAAUAAGUUUUCAUGUUGAGUUCUUUCGAAAACCAGCUUUGCUUCAUAAUGUAAUAUAUUCCCAAGAAAUUUUAUGUGAGGGCAUGGACAAAUGAGGUUAUUUGUGUUGAGGUUGUGUGGCCCAAAUUAAGGUAAAGGAAAAAUCUUACAUUGCAUUAUCGCAAGGAAUAUAAGUACUUGACCUACUAUUGAGGCAAUCGGGAUAAACCCAAAAUCUGUCUUUGUCCAUGAUGAUUAAGCGAGAACAGUAUGUGAUGCCACUUUAGACUGGGUUUAUGUAGAACCCGUUGCAAAAACAUUGUUAAUAGACCCAAAAGUUAGGUUGGAACAAGUUAUUCAGGGUGGAAUGAGGUUUAGGGUGGUGAUCUUGGGCUUGGAGUAGCAUCUUGGCUGGAAGAGAAAUAAUUUCCUCAGAGACACAUUGGCAAGUGAAUAAUGGUAAAGUAAUUCAAGUUUGGGAGGAUAGAUGGAUCCCAAAUAGCCCUGAUGGCAGAUUGCAUCCAUUUCCAACAAAUAACAGAUCUACUCUUGCUGUAAGUGAGUUAUUUGAUGAAGAAAACCAGUCUUGGGUGAUUGAUCACAUUGAACCUUUCAUCGCUGUCUCUGAAGCUACAGCAAUCAAAUCCAUCCAUAUUGGUGAUGUUAAUGUUGAUGAUAGAUUGAUAUGGCAUGCUGAAAAAUCAGGUAAUUACACUGAAUUCGGGUUAUCAUCUUAUGCAUAAUCCUUCUAUUUCAGUUCCUAAAGCUUCUUCCUCCCAUGUGAUUAAUAAGAAAGUUUGGAGUUUUAUCUGGGGCAUUGACACAUUACCAAAGAUUAAGCACUUCUUAUGGAGAGCAGUAUCCAACUCUUUGCCCACUGGUCUAAAUCUUUUCAAAAGGAAGCUUCUGAGAUCUCCUGUUUGCAAUUUGUGUGGAGUUGGUGAUGAAAGUAUUGAACAUUGCAUCUUACUCUGCCCUUGGACAGAGUGCACAUGGUUUGGUAGUAUAUUGGGUCUACAUAUACCCAAACAAAACAUCACCACCCUUGAUGUUUGGUUGCUAGCUCUUGCCAAUAUGCCUGCUCCUCCAAAUCAUACAAAGAAUGAGUUAAUUUCUUUGUUCAGUUUCUUCAUCUGGGAAAUUUGGAAAGCUAGGUGUGCAUUUGUAUUUAACCACACCCCUCCCUCUCCUUGUGAUAUCAUACAUACUGCCACAAGACAUUGGAUGGAAUUUCAGAUUGCUAAACGUUCAGCCAAGAAACAGGUAACCUUCUUAUCCGGCACUUUGAAUCAUUCUUGGUGUCCUCCCAUGGAACCCCUGAUCAAAGUCAAUGUCGAUGGUGCCUGAGAUAAGAAUACCACCUCCUCCGGAUCAGGUGUGAUUAUUAGAGAUGCAAGGGGUAAAUUCAUAGCUGGUUCCUCUAGAUCUUGUAUUGCAGGAUCUGCUAUUGAAGCCGAAGCCAUAGCUCUUGUGGAUGGUCUGAAGUUGGUCAAGCAAUUGAACCUAGACAACAUUGUUAUGGAAAGUGAUUCACAGGAGCUAAUUUCAGCUUUGGGAAACCACAUUGAGAAAGGUAAUUGGAGAAUCUACCCUGUUCUCAUUGAGUUUCAUCGCAUCCGUCAUCUUCUUAGCAGUGUCUCUUGGAAUUGGAUCUCCCGUGAAGCUAACGGUGCUGCCGAUGCAGCCGCAAAGCUAGCCAAAUCGAGGUUGUGCACAAAAGUGUGGGUUAAUAUACCCCCAACCUCUCUUGUCUCUGUUUUAACUAAUGACCGGCUUCCUUGUCCUCACUAAGUUUUCAUUAUUUUGUUCUUGUAGUUUUGCCUGGUAUUCCUACCAGAUGUUUCAGUUGUAUUUGGCUUAUGUACUUGUUUGUGCCUUCUCCCUUUCGGAUUUUCAAUUGAAGUAUUUUCAGACCAAAAAAAAAAAAAAAGGUGGAAUGAGGUAAGUGUCAAGGGGCAGCUAGGGGUAUUACGUGACAUGCAUAGCAUGUGAAAAUAAGCCAAAUUUUGUCAAUGCCUUUUAUUUUUCUAUUGAAAUUCUUCAGUGUCAUGGUGUUG